rnacentral:rRNA from 1 species
GCUUGGCCCUAAACACAAAUAGUACUAAUACAAUACUACUCGCCAGAGAACUACAAGCGAAAAGCUUAAAACUCAAAAGACUUGGCGGUGCUUCAAAUCAACCUAGAGGAGCCUGUCCUAUAAUCGAUACCCCACGUUUUACCUUACCGCCCUUAGACAAUCAGCCUAUAUACCGCCGUCGUAAGCCUACCUUAUGAAAGAAAAAAAGUAGGCAAAAGAGCCAAUAACAAAUACGUCAGGUCAAGGUGUAGCACACGGGGCGGCAGAGAUGGGCUACAUUUUCCACAAAAAACACACGAAUAACAUGUUGAAAUAACCUGUUUGAAGGCGGAUUUAGUAGUAAAAUGGGCAAGAAAGCCCAUCUAAAACCUGCUCUGAAGCGCGCACACACCG